UACGUAGGAUGCAAGCGUUGUCCGGAUUUACUGGGCGUAAAGCGCGCGCAGGCGGCACAUUAAGUCAGGUGUGAAAUAUCCCGGCUCAACCGGGAGGGUGCACUUUAGACUGAUGAGCUUGAGGUCGGUAGAGGGGGGUGGAAUUGCUGGUGUAGCGGUGAAAUGCGUAGAGAUCAGCAGGAACACCCGUGGCGAAGGCGGCCCCCUGGGCCGUACCUGACGCUGAGGCGCGAAGGCGUGGGGAGCGAACGGG
rnacentral:rRNA from 1 species